UGGGGAAUAUUGCACAAUGGGCGCAAGCCUGAUGCAGCCAUGCCGCGUGUAUGAAGAAGGCCUUCGGGUUGUAAAGUACUUUCAGUCGGGAGGAAGGUGGUAAGGUUAAUAACCUUAUCAAUUGACGUUACCGACAGAAGAAGCACCGGCUAACUCCAUGCCAGCAGCCGCGGUAAUACGGAGGGUGCAAGCGUUAAUCGGAAUUACUGGGCGUAAAGCGCACGCAGGCGGUUUGUUAAGUCAGAUGUGAAAUCCCCGGGCUCAACCUGGGAACUGCAUCUGAUACUGGCAAGCUUGAGUCUCGUAGAGGGGGGUAGAAUUCCAGGUGUAGCGGUGAAAUGCGUAGAGAUCUGGAGGAAUACCGGUGGCGAAGGCGGCCCCCUGGACGAAGACUGACGCUCAGGUGCGAAAGCGUGGGGAGCAAACAGG
rnacentral:rRNA from 1 species